CUAGUCUUUCAAAUUAUGACCGUAAAAGGCGAUAGCAUCUUGUAUACUGAACCGAAUACUUUGUUAGGGUACUCGCAGUAUCUAUCAUUGUAACAGCAUGUCCUGUCACACUUGUAGCAUCAAUCAAACUACAAAAUUAACUCACUCAAACUAUACUGAGACAAGCAUACUAGUUGUCUCAUUACUUUUAUUACUAACGCACGACUUAAUAGAUAUUAAAGGAGAAAAAAAAAUUAAAUUAAAUGAGCAACUAUUGUUUAAAAUAAACUUAAUGAAUAGUUAGAGCUUUUUAUAUGAAAAUCUAUAUAAAAUGAUCAUGAAAACAUAUUAUUCAAAAGGUAGAUAAAGAAAUAAACUACCUUUAUCAGGGGCAAAAAACGGCGGAUCAUACAUUAUCACAGCACAGCGAAGAGCAUUAUAAACGUAAACAAAAAUCUAACAAACAGAAUUCCAGUCGUUAGAGAUAAAACGCUUAGGAACAAGCAAUUUGGUUUACUUUCUA